rnacentral:rRNA from 1 species
AUUGAACGCUGGCGGCAGGCCUAACACAUGCAAGUCGAACGAGUGGCGGACGGGUGAGUAAUGUAUGGGAAACUGCCUGAUGGAGGGGGAUAACUACUGGAAACGUUAGCUAAGACCGCAUACCACAAUAUGGGCCCAGGUGGGAUGAGCGAGUUGGUGGGGUAACGGCUCACCAAGGCGACGAUCCCUAGCUGUCCUGAGAGGAUGAUCGGCCACCCUGGGACUGAGACACGGUCCAGACUCCUACGGGAGGCAGCAGUAGGGAAUCUUCCACAAUGGACGCAAGUCUGAUGCAGCAAUGCCGCGUGUAUGAAGAAGGCUUUCGGGUUGUAAAGUACUUUUAGCAGAGAGGCGUUACCUGCCGAGGAAGCCCCGGCUAACUACGUGCCAGCAGCCGCGGUAAUUC